GGGGCUGAUUCUGGAUUCGACGGGAUUUGCGAAACCCAAGGUGCAUGCCGAGGGGCGGUUGGCCUCGUAAAAAGCCGCAAAAAAAUAGUCGCAAACGACGAAAACUACGCUUUAGCAGCUUAAUAACCUGCUUAGAGCCCUCUCUCCCUAGCCUCCGCUCUUAGGACGGGGAUCAAGAGAGGUCAAACCCAAAAGAGAUCGCGCGGAUACCCUGCCUGGGGUUGAAGCGUUAAAACGAAUCAGGCUAGUCUGGUAGUGGCGUGUCCGUCCGCAGGUGCCAGGCGAAUGUAAAGACUGACUAAGCAUGUAGUACCGAGGAUGUAGGAAUUUCGGACGCGGGUUCAACUCCCGCCAGCUCCACCA
rnacentral:tmRNA from 11 species